rnacentral:rRNA from 1 species
NCGAAAUGCGAUAAGUAAUGUGAAUUGCAGAAUUCAGUGAAUCAUCGAAUCUUUGAACGCACAUUGCGCCCCUUGGUAUUCCGAGGGGCAUACCUGUUCGAGCGUCAUUG